AUUGAACGCUGGCGGAAUGCUUUACACAUGCAAGUCGAACGAUGAACCUUAGCUUGCUAAGGGGAUUAGUGGCGAACGGGUAAGUAAUAUAUCGGAACGUGCCUUGUAAUGGGGGAUAACUAGUCGAAAGAUUAGCUAAUACCGCAUACGCCCUGAGGGGGAAAGUAGGGGAUCUUCGGACCUUACGUUAUAAGAGCGGCCGAUAUCUGAUUAGCUAGUUGGUGGGGUAAUGGCCUACCAAGGCGACGAUCAGUAGCUGGUCUGAGAGGACGACCAGCCACACUGGAACUGAGACACGGUCCAGACUCCUACGGGAGGCAGCAGUGGGGAAUUUUGGACAAUGGGCGCAAGCCUGAUCCAGCCAUUCCGCGUGAGUGAAGAAGGCCUUCGGGUUGUAAAGCUCUUUCGCAAGGGAAGAAAACUUACCAUCGAAUAAAUGGUGAGGCUGACGGUACCUUGAUAAGAAGCACCGGCUAACUACGUG
rnacentral:rRNA from 1 species